rnacentral:misc_RNA from 1 species
GCAAACUUGGUCAUUUAGAGGAAGUAAAAGUCGUAACAAGGUCUCCGUAGGUGAACCUGUGGAGGGAUCAUCAAAGAAUUUUCCAUUAUUCCAAGGUGCUUUUUUCCCCUUUCUCUUGAAAGAGAGAGAGAGAGGAGAAAAGUGCUUUGCAAACAAACGAUCACAACUAUUGAAAAAAUUGUGGUGGAUAAUAUUGGCUUGGUUUCCUUGACUUGACUUGCAAAAGAAAAAGUGUUUGCCUGAUAUCAGAGUUGGUUGACUUGGAAAAAAAAACAAGAGAAAAUUAUACAACUUUCAACAACGGAUCUCUUGGCUCUCACAUCGAUGAAGAACGCAGC